rfam:Meleagris gallopavo isolate NT-WF06-2002-E0010 breed Aviagen turkey brand Nicholas breeding stock chromosome 4, whole genome shotgun sequence.
CCAAAGGCCCUUCAAGGAUUUCAAACAUAGGGCCACCAACACUACAAACCUCAAUGAUU